UACGCCCUAAACCCUGCAGGCGUCAUCCGUAUCUUCCUUCUCAGCUCUGGCCAUGCCGCCUCUCCUCUUCUCCCUUCGACCCUCGCCCUGUUCAGGCUUCCCGCUACGCCGACUCCUAUUCCGCUGCUCCGCUUCCUCCGCCUCCACCUUCUCGUCGCUCGCCUCUUACCACGCCUCCUUCGCCCGCCGGAUGGCCCUCGCCGGCAUCCAUCCGCACCACCGCAUCGCGGUCGGGGUCUCCGGUGGACCGGACUCGAUGGCGCUGUGCGUGCUCGCCACGGCCUGGAAGAAGGCAGCGGGGAGGAAGGCCGGUGAUGAGGAGGAUCCCGUCGCCUCGGCAUUCGUGGACGGGCUCCUCGGAGUUGUCGUCGACCACGGUCUGCGCCCCGAGAGCGCCGACGAGGCGCGGCUAGUGCGUGACCGCGUCCGUGGCAUGGGUGUUGAGUGUGAGAUUGCUAACUGUGAGUGGCCGUAUGGCCCUCCAAAGCAAGGGAAGGUGCAAGAGGCUGCCCGCGAAGUGAGGUACCAAAAACUAUUGGACAUUUGUAUAAAGCAACAGAUAGGAAUCUUGCUUAUUGCACACCAUUCUGAUGACCAGGCAGAGCUCUUUGUUCUCAGACUAUCUCGCCAAAGUGGGGUUUUAGGGCUUGCUGGUACAGCUUUUGUGUCUCAGUUGUUUGCAUCUAAUGUAAAAUAUGAUGGGGAGAGAUUUCGACGUUAUGGCAUACUUCUUGUGCGGCCUAUGCUUGAGUUUUCAAAAGAUGACAUGUAUAAGAUAUGUCAAGGUAGUAAUCAACCCUGGGUGGAAGAUCCAACGAAUACUAGUAUGAAGUAUGCUAGAAACCGAAUUCGGGCGUCUUUAAGAAAAUUAUCCACCGAAGGUACCUUUCUCUCAGGAGUUCAUAAACUGAUAAGCGCAUGCCGAUUGACACGGGCAUGUGUUGAUUGUGCUUGCAAUACAAUUGCAAAGCAGUCGGUGUCAAUAUCGGAGUAUGGAUAUGCUAUUAUAGACCUGGAAAACCUUGAUCCGUUAAAUGUUGACGACCUUAGUCUUUCACAAUAUUUAGCAUAUAUCUUGCAGUUUGUUUCACAAAGGCACAGGCCACUUCGUGGUAGAUCUGCUGAACUGCUACUUGAUUACAUUCGUAGCAUUCCCUGCAAGGCUGCCCUUACUGUAGCUGGUUGUUAUCUUUGUGCUGUCCCAAGGUCUAAAGGUACAAAAGUACUUGUUUGUUGUUCUGUUGACUGGAUGGAGUCAUCUUCUGCUGAAACUUCCUACAAGUGUUCCUAUGAAGAGCAGGCACCUCCAGUACCGGAUAUUGAUCUGAUAGUCCUUGAAGGACAUCUUCAAACUAAUCAGUCUAUACAGAACCACUCGAACAUACCUUUUCUGUAUUCCAAAUCUUCCAUAGAUGUUCUGAACAAAGCGAAGGAUUUCAACAUAAUAGAUGAUUUUACAUUAGAAAAGCUCCAUUACUUACGGACAAACGAGCAUGAUAAAUUUAUUGUGAAAGAACAUAAACACGAAGAACAGGACCUGCAGGAAACAAAAAUUUCUGAUUGUAAUGUUUUAGGCCUCUGUCCUGGUGAAACAUGUCACUUUAUGAGCAAAUUCUUGAUUACAUGGAAAGCUCCAGAAGAUGUCAAUGAAAUAUGUUCACUUGAAAAUAAACAAUCUCUGUCCAAGUUUUGUACUGUGAAUUUGGGUGGAAGUCUUGAAGUCCGGCACAUGGUUGAUACUGAUUGGUUGUUCCUUGCUGAAGUUUGUAACACCCCUUCAGUGGAAGAGAACCGUAGUCAUCCAAGAGCAUCCUGUACCAAGAUGAAGAUGGAUUCUGCCCUGCAUCACUCCAGAUUCUUGCAACAAUCAGCACAGAAAGCUCUUCAGAUCCUUAGAUCUAUUCCAGCUGCUGCAAGACGAACACUUCCAGUACUAACCAAUGCACAAGGUGACGUAGUAUGUAUACCGAGUGUUGGCUUCAGAUGUUGCCCUAGUCUAUUGAUAGAAGCAGUAUUUUGUCCAAGAGUACCUCUCGGUGGAGGAUAUAGUUCAUAUUUAUGAUUGGUUGAGCUUUGCUUUGGACGAAACGAAACAUAGGGUGAAUAUUCACAGGUGGGAAUGGGAUAGUGGCUGCUGUUGCUGAAUGAUGCAAUCGGUCUAGGGCAUCUUUGGCUCAACAGUUCAACUUCUUCUACCAGUCCUAGUGGAUCUUUAGUAGAAAACAUUUACUUUGGCUUUCCCGUGACAGACAAGGCUGGUGAUGACUGACAAGAAAACAUAUAUACCAGGGACAAGAUUAUGUAAGGCUAACUCCAACGGUUCCGCUUCCCAAAUCCUCAUAUUCUCAAUUUCUAUUCAAUAGGGAUGAAAGUGGUAGUCCUGAAUUGUUAGGAUAAAUUUAAUAUUUUAAAAUAGGUUGGCAAGCGGAAUUAUUGAACAAAGCUGGCCGGGUAGUACAUGUGCAGUUUGUUAUGACAGCUCGGGUUAUCUACUUAUCUAUACAGCUUUGGCUCUAGACUUGCCUGCUUGGGCAUUCAAGUCCAUUGACAAACUCCGUAAAGGUUUUCUUUGGAGGGGUGGAAAGGAAGCGAAAGAGCUUGGCCUAAGGUGACCUGUCCUAAGGAACUAGGGGGCCUUUGUGUGCUUGAUCUCAAGAACAUGAACUGGGCUCUCAGAAAUAGAUGGCUUUUGCUGCAGAAACUGGAACCUGGGAAGCCUUGGGCUGAUUUCCCCCUGCAAUCUUGUUCAGUAGUUUAGAAUCUUCUCUCGGCUGCGGUCGUUACAGAGGCUGGAGAUGGAGCCAACACCUUGUUUUGGAAAGACAAGUGGCUGCAAGGUAGAAGAAUCAUGGACAUAGCACCUGCGGUGGCUGCUUUGUUCCCAAAACAAAAUUCAAUAAGGGUCUUGUUUGUGAUGCUAUGGUAGACAACAAGUGGAUUGCGGAUUUCCAAGGUGCUCUCUCUUUCUGGGUCCUGGUGGAGUACUUUAAGUUGUUUUGAGGGCUUCAGAAUGUUUUGCUGCAGCCAAGCAAACCUGAUCGACAUCUUCGGCGUUUUUCCUCCGGCCAGUAUUGAACCAAGUCAGCAUAUAAGGUUGCUCGACCACUUCAUAAUCUAUGUGGUUUGUUCAGAUGGGAAGAGCUUCUGUGCAGUGGGCUGUUAUCCAGAGCAUUAACUUCGACAGUACAAUCAUACAAGUAUACAUCAAAUUCCAUGUUCAAGCCUCCCUUCCAACCAGAACAGCUGCAUCUGAAAGCUCUGACAAGGCGACAACCAGACAUCCUUAAAAAAUAGACCAUUUGUCAUUCACUUAAAAAAGAGAGAUCACAACAUUAGGGUAACAUAAAAACAACUACAUUUAGUCUCUAUAGUACUUGUUUUAGGUUAAAAAGAUUAGCAUUACAGCCUCCUUCCUUAAACACCUUUAAAUGAUGUAAGUACUCCCAUGUCAUAUAUGUCAUUCCUAUAGUUUCGACCAGUGCUGUAUUUUUUAUAUAUAACAAUGUAGUCUAGAACUUCUUUGCGUGA